AAAAUUAUCAAUGUAUUUGAAAGUAUAUCAAAGUAAUUUAACCGAAUCCUGCUUGUCAUGGUAUAUUUACAAGCUGCAAACGUCUGAGAAUGCCAGUAUUUCCAUUCUGGUACACAUUUUGAAAAUGAUUUGGAUCAACAUCGUCUUCUUCAAUGUAUCCUUCCACUUCAUCUUCAUUCAUAACACAUAUGUUAUGUAGAACGCAGCAAGCAAAUAUAAGUUGGCAAAUAUCGCCAUGAUUAUGAAAAGGCACAUCUCUAAGUCUUCUGAAUCGACCUUUCAGGUGUCUAAAAGCCCUCUCCACUGUCUGACCUAUGCCUGAGAGCCUUUUGUUGAAUUUCACUUUAAAAGUGUCGGACUUACCAAAGUUCUUGAAAGGAGUGAUGAGCCAGUUACGCAGUGGAUAAGCAUUAUCUCCAAAGAUGUGAUGAUUUGGGGAAAAUAACUCUCCGGCUUCAGCUUUGGUAAACAAGCUUGAGUUUCGCAAAACUCUUGCAUCAUGCACACAACCUGGCCAACCAGUGUAUGCAUUAAGGAUUUUCAUCCUGUUGUCCAAUACUAUCUGUAA